rnacentral:lncRNA from 1 species
AGAAAACCUGCCUUCAGGUUCACGUUUGGGGCAUGAAGAAGAGGAAGGGAAAUACUUCAACUUAGCAGAUGAAAAGGAAAAUGACAGAAGAGCUGAAGAUUUCUGUGUGAGAAAAGAUAUUUAUUUCUCCUCUGACUGCUAGAGAAGGGAAGAGCAGGGAGAAUCAUAACAUGUGUGUGGGUGUAGAUAUGGAUCCUAUAUUAUGUUGUUACGUAAAUCUGUUUGUAAUCUUUGAGACUGUUUCAGGAAUAAGAUCCAUGAGAUAAUGCUAGAAGCAAACAGUUUUAUGAUUUUUUUUAAACAACAAAAGACAGGAACUUAAUUUUAACUUGGCUUGACCAAAAUUCUAGGACAGGCAAUUGACUAGAGAAGCACUGAAGCCUGAGCAAAAAUUGUGGUGAUUUCUAAGAGCCAACAUGGAUUCACCAACAAUGAACACAAUUCCUUUUUUAAAAAUUGUAUUAUCACAUCAAGAGAUCAAGAAGACAUAAAUAAAGUCAAUCUGAAUUUUAGUAAAGCUUUGGGCAGAAUUUUUUUUUUUGAAAAUUUGUUCCCUCCAAAACUCAUGUUGAAAUUUAAUUCCCAGUAUGGCAGUAUUGAGAAGUGGGGCCUUUAAGAGGUGAUUGGGCCAUGAGAGCUUUGCCCUCAUGAAUGGAUUAAUCUAUUCAUGGAUUCAUGGGUUCAUGGAUUAAUGGAUCAUCAUGGAAGUGGGGCUGGUGGCUUUAUAAGAGGAGAAAAAUAAUCUGGAACUAGCAUGCUCAGCCCCUUAACCAUGUGAUGCCCUGCACCACCUCAGAGCUCUGCAGAGAGUCCUCACCAGCGAUCACCUGAGGUCAGGAGUUUGAGACCAGCCUGACCAACAUGGUGUAACCCUGUCUCUACUAAAUACAGAAAAUUAGCUGGGCAUGGUGGCACAUACCUGUUAUCCCAGCUACUUGGGAGGCUGAGGCAGGAGAAUCGCUUGAACCCGAAAGGUGGAGAUUGCAGUGAGCCAAGAUUGCACCAUUGCACUCCAGCCUGGACAACAAAAGCGAAAACUCCGUCUCAAAAACAAGAAAAAAAAUAGAGAGAGAGUCCUCACCAGCAAGAAGGCUCUCAACAGAUCCAACCCCUCAACCUUGGACUUCUUUGCCUUCAUAACUGGCUCAUAUCAACUGUGAACUCCCCAGUGAAGUCCUUCCUGACCUCCACUUGGAGACUCUCAACUCUCGGCUGCACCAUUCUC